rnacentral:siRNA from 1 species
GGAACUGUAAACAUAUGGUGGA